GACGAACGCUGGCGGCGUGCUUAACACAUGCAAGUCGAACGGUAAGGCCCUUUCGGGGGUAGACGAGUGGCGAACGGGUGAGUAAUACAUCGGUGAUUUGCCCUGCGCUUGGGAUUAAGCCUCGAAAACUGGGUCUAUUACCCGAUUGAUCUACGCGUGACAUCGCGUGUGGUGGCAAGCAGUUUUGGUCUGGGAUGUCUGCACGGCCUAUUAGCUUGUUGGUUGGGUGGUGGCCUACAAAGCCGACGACGGGUAGCCGUCCUGAGAGGGUGUGCGGCCACACUGGGACUGAGAGACGGCCCAGAGUCGUACGGGAGGCAGCAGUGGGGAAUAUUGCACAAUGGGGGCAAGCGUGAUGCAGCGACGCCGCGUGGGGGAUGACGGCCUUCGGGGUGUAAACAGCUUUCAGCACAGACGAAGCGUAAGUGACGGUAUGUGCAGAAGAAGCACCGGCUAACUACGUG
rnacentral:rRNA from 1 species